rnacentral:lncRNA from 1 species
UACUCGUGAAAACAAGAUAUAUUCAGCCUCUUAGUUGUUUCUUACCCUGAUUGCUAUAACAUUGUGCAUAAAAUUUUGGUUUCUUAAAAAAACCUUGAAUUAGUACCUAGCUGUCUUGAAGAUGUUUUCUGCCCAAUUAUUUUUAGUUGGUUGAAUUUGACUAAUGUGAUAAAUCUGCCUAUGUACUAGUAGUUUGGCUGCAAAAAAAAGGAUACUUUUUUUAAAGAAAAUUUUGAUAAGCACUUGAAGAAAAAAUAAUGGUCCUCCAGAUCAGUAGAUACAGUAUUGUUCCCCCCUCAACAACAUUUUGAAUCUGUUCUGGAUUCAUGCUUGUUAGAAAGCACUUUUUAUUUUCCACUUAACGGUACUUGUUUAUUAAGAAUUAACUUCUAGGAUCUUAAGCCCCUGCCUGUAAUAAAAAGUGAGAAUGAUUCUAUUUGCCCAAACGUCAGGGCAACUGCUUAACUAGGAUACAAAACCUAUGCAACUGAUCUCAAUUUGUUUUUCACUUUGAUAGUUAAGAGUUUUUAUCUUCUUCUUGAGUUUUCACAAACCUAUAGGAGCUCUGGAGGGUCACGUUUCAAUUUGCGUAAGCUUAAAUUGCACUAGCAAAC